rnacentral:lncRNA from 1 species
CUCAGAAGAGGGAGAGAAAGAGCAUGCUCAACAUGAGCUCCUGAUGUAUUUCAUAUUUUUUUGUUUUUAGAAUGAGAUAAACACUAAUCGAAAAAUAAUUCCUGACAAGUGAUGAACAACAACUCUAUUCAUUCAGAAUAUAAAAAAGUAACUUUGCGCCUCAAGUUAAGAAGUUUUUACUCUAGCUAGCUAGCUACACAACAAAGACCUAGCCAGCAGACUAACAAGCCAGCCAGAAGAAACGAGCUACAACAAACCUAGCAAGGGGAGAUAAUACAACUACAUCAAACGACCAAACUGAUAGAGCUAGCUAGCAAGAGCAGCAGACAAACAAACUGGUUGCUAUGGCAAUGGGGCAGCAGAACAGAGCAGCAGCAGCAGCAGCAGUAGUAGCAGAGCCCACAGGCACCAUGUCCCCACUCCGCCUCAGCGCUGAGUCCAUUCUCUACCCUCCAGAAGCCAAAAAUGACACAACGAGGAAAGCCUUUAAACAGAAACUACUGAAGGGGAGGCCAGAAACCCUUUUCACAGACCUCUACAAAAACGGUGAUGUGAGUAAUCUCAUCUUUCUCACUGACCAGCCAAAUGCAUGGCGCUCAGCAGUCUGCUCUCACUACCCAUCCAUAAAGAAAGAGGGAAUAUGUAAUAGGUGGAAGCUGAAAGUCAGAGACAGAUGACCCUGACAGCACCAUGAUAACAAUCAACCUCUACAAGACUGGGACUGUCAUGGUGCAAGGUAUUCUUAGGCUGUUUGAAACAGACUUUCAGACCAUUAAGGAGAGAGCAGAGAGAGAGAAGGACACCACCAGUGACAUGCUCUCCCACAAGACAAACUCCACCAGCACCGCCCUCACCCCUACUAUCCACACCCAAAAAGGCACAUCCAGCACCUCUCUUCCCACCAUAGUGGAAGACACACCCCAAGAGGAGAGUGACCCCCUCAGUGCAGAGCAGGCUCAGGCCCUCCUCACCACCAUGGCUGCCACGAGGGAGGAGUUCACCAAACUGGAGGGGGAGGUGGUCCUGCUCAGGGAGAGCGUGAGCAAACAGCAACCAGACAACCACACCUUAGAGGAGCUACUAACCAAGAUGCAGACAGAGCAGGACAGCAGCCUUGCAACACAGCUGAAAGAGGUUCAGCAAGAGAGAGACGGACUCGAGAGAGUUGGCUGAUCUAACAAAGGAGGUGAGAGAGCUCCAAAAAGACAGGCAGAACAGUAUUAACGAUCUGACCACACUAAGAGAGGAGCUGCAGGAGAGAAAGAGAACAGAGGACAGGCUGCAGGAGCAGCUAGAUCACCACUCUAUGACCUGCCCUCACACAGCAGAGGAGCCCAGCUCAACCAGCCAGGCUUCCCCAGCCCUGCCUGCUGCACACCUCCUCCCCAGCCCACAGAUCAGCCUCCCCUGACAGCAGCACCGGCACAGACCAGCCCCACCCCAGCUCCAACACCCACCAGCCCCCCCUCUACCCUCUACCCUCUCCAGUCCAGAAGAAACACUGGCUGACAUCGUGCUGUUGAUGGACUCAAAUGGGAAGUUUUGUUUAGGAGAAUAAACUUUUCCCUAGACACAAAACGAGAAAGGUGUGGUGCCCAACAACGCAGAGUGCCAUGGAGCCGCUUGAUAAGGUCCAUCUUGGGUCACCAAGCCACAUAAUCAUACACACCGGAAUCAACGACCUGCGUGCUCAGUAGGAGAGGGUGGCGACUUCACUACGGGGAGCGAUUGAGAAGGCCUUCGCAAUUUUCCCCAACUCAAGAAUCGUAGUGUCAACCCUUCUACAGAGGAAGGACUUCCACCCUGCCACAAUCCAAAGAAUAAACGCCAGCCUCUCCCGGGACUGUGCCCUGCGACCCAAUGUACACCUGGCCCACCAUCCCACCCUCGAUCUGGACUGUCUCUAUGACCAUGUUCACCUGUACAGGGAGACAGUGCCCAUCCUUGCCAAGACUCUCAAGAACGUCGCUUUAAACCGCAGCCCGACCUCUCCACCCAGGAACAGCGGAGAAAUCUCCACCCCUCCGAGAUCACCGAGACAACACCCCGGACCAGCACCCUGGACCCCCCAGCCACGACCACAGCACCACCAACCUCAAUGCCCACCACAGCCAGCGCAGCACAGACCACCCCAGUCCAGCUUCAGACCCACCCAGACGAGGCCUACCACCCCCCUCCCCCCCACUGCAGACCCACACUUGGAGGAGCCACAGCCCAGCAGGCAGAGCUACGCACAGGCUGUGAGAGGAGCAACUGACCCAGACCCCACCAACGAAAUGAGUGACAUUAAACAAAUGCUGAGUCUACUAUGCUCACAUGUGAUAGGCCGAGGGUCAUGGUAAGAUGAGCACAAUAACUCCACCAUCUUCACACUACAUCCACC